GGAAAACGAAGCGGUAACAACGUCCCCGGGGAGGGGACAGCGGUGGAAGGGCGAGGCCCUCGGGAACUGUUGCUCAUCCAGGAUACGAUCCGGUGAAUAACUCUGAAACUGCCGCUCAUCCAGGAUACGAUAAGCCCUGCUGCUGCCUAAUCCCUGAGCCAGGCAUUGUGAGUGGGCUGAAAUCCUCAUCCCAGCCAUCCAUUCACAGAUAGAGCUAUCUGCCAGUGGUCGCCCCAUCCCCAGCCCCAUGGCCCUGCUGCCCAUAUUGAGCAAACAGGACGAACAAACAGCGGGGAGUGCCUCAGAUAGGUCCCCCUGCCUCCGCCCAGCGCCCAGGACGUGAGCAAACACUCCAGCCUGCUGAACAAAGGGGGAUGAAUAAUCGGAGGGAAAUGUCAACGUUUCAUCAUGGCUGCCUUGGCCCGGUGAGUUAUCC